rnacentral:rRNA from 1 species
ACAUACGACCAUAACCAGUUGAAAACUCGGGAUCCCGUCCGCUUUCCCCUAGAUAAGCAGUUGAGUGCCACUAGUACUCAGGUGAGUGCUAGACCAGUACUCAGGUAGGUAACCACCAGGGAAUCCCUGGUGGUAUAUAUU